GAUGAACGCUGGCGGCGUGCCUAAUACAUGCAAGUCGAGCGAACAGACGAGGAGCUUGCUCCUCUGACGUUAGCGGCGGACGGGUGAGUAACACGUGGAUAACCUACCUACAAGACUGGGAUAACUUCGGGAAACCGGAGCUAAUACCGGAUAAUAUAUUGAACCGCAUGGUUCAAUAGUGAAAGACGGUUUUGCUGUCACUUAUAGACGGACCCGCGCCGCAUUAGCUUGUUGGUAAGGUAACGGCUUACCAAGGCAACGAUGCGUAGCCGACCUGAGAGGGUGGUCAGCCACACUGGAACUGAGACACGGUCCAGACUCCUACGGGAGGCAGCAGUAGAGAAUCUUCCGCAAUGGGCGAAUGCCUGACGUAGCAACGCGGCGUGAGUGAUGAAGGUCUUCGGAUCGUAAAGCUCUGUUAUUAGGGAAGAUCAAAUGUGUAAGUAACUAUGCACGUCUUGACGGUACCGAGUCAGAAAGCCACGGCUAACUACGUG
rnacentral:rRNA from 1 species